GCCGCCAUCACGGUCCAUUGGGUCCUAUUUAUACUCCCCAGACAUCACGUGUCUUCCCAUGGGUCUUAUCUCAUCAAGUCACCAUGUGAAUCUGUCUUAGCAAAACUCCACGUGAGUCUGUAUCAGCUGACAUAUCCAGAAACUUCCAUUUCACUCUGCCAAUUGGCCAGAGUCUGGAGAAGCGGCAAGAAGCCUCGAGGACACCACCAUAAGUUUUUUGGUGCAUUUCUUUUGAGUCUCAACAAACAACGACCAGUAAGGAAUGGCGAGGUGUACCAAUAUCACCUAGGUCAUCCACCAUCUGUUGGGUUAUAUUUGUUUGUUGCUACAAAACAUCCUUUCUCCUGUG
rnacentral:lncRNA from 1 species